AAGCUGCAAGACAGGCUGAGCCGGGCUGGGUGACCCUAGGUCAAGGGAAAGGAAACACCAGGCCCAAAGUAGCUGCAGAAAGGCAGGAUACGGACCCCAAGGAGCAGAGUCACGGCCCUGCCCCAGCCCCCCUCCGGGUGCCCCCACCGCCCCAAGCCCCCAGUUUUGUUCUGGGGACCCACUUGGGUUCCCCUCAGCAGCUCACCCCUGACCUUCCUAGAGACAGAGCCUGGAUUCUAAAAGGUGGCCAUGCAGGGGUUAAGCGAGGGCAGCCUCAGGCUCUACCGGCACCAGAAGAGGUGGUUGGUAGCCCGGGUGGCCCUGAGGGGACACAACAGCUGGGACAUGGAGGUGUGGAACUGGGUAAGAGUACAGAGACUUUGUUUCCUCAGGACCAUCUGCUCCACCCUAAGGCUUGUGUCCCGAGGACACGGGCACGCCCAGGACCAGAGGAGGUGCUGUUGAGCGUUGAGCGAAAGGGGGUUCUGAAGCAGGCGGAUCCCUGGCGCUCUGGCCAGGCCCCGGCUCCUCGGCUUCCUCCACCCUCCCUCCUCACCGAUCGCCCUCCCAGAGCCUCACUCCAGACCCAGAGCCUUACUCCAGAGGUCGCGUGCCUCGGCGCAGGUGGGAGCGAGAGGAAGAUUCCAGAAAUUAGCGACCCAGCUCAAAAGGGGCUUAGGAGCAGCCAGCUGGCUCAGCUGGGCACCGACUUCCUGACAAGAGCCAAAGGGACCAUCUGGUGGCAGAGAGGCCCAUGCCCGCCAGACCUGUCUGCAAUCUGGGAUGCCAGGACACACGGGACGCCGGGGGACCCCGGAGGGCCCUGCUGUCCGAGCGCUCGGGGUUAUGGGCGAGCACCGGGCCACGCUGUGCGACUUGGCAGGGUCGGCACCAGGGAAUCCAGCUUUGGCACGGCUCCGUGCGGCCGCCCCGUCCAGAUGGAGAGGUCAGGGAGGCAAUGUUCUUCGUUCUACCGGGAAAAAGAGAGAGCGGAAGAAGAUUUAAACUCAGGAGUUCUCCUCAGAAUUUACUU